AUGGAGGAAGAGCACUACCUGGGUCAUAUCAAGGACCAUCCAAAAGAUGUUGAGUACCUCAAUGUGCCUUUAGAGAAUUAUGUUCAGAUGCUUGCUAUCCUUGGGAGUGGUAUUGCUACAGGAAGGUAUGCAAUGACAUCUCAUCAGGCUCUUGGGGUUCCUUCAAUGGUGGAAACCUCCCCAUCUUUUGUAAACCUUGAAGGUUGUGGUUCUGAAUUUGUUGUUGAUGGGAAUGAACCUGGCUCAACUGCUACUGCUUCUGCUCAUGGGGAAGAUGCUGGUGCUGCUCCUCAUGGGAAGGAACCAUGUAAGGAUGCUUCCAGCUCCACUAGCAAAAGGAAAAGGGCUAGCCUGAUGAGUGAAGAAGAAGUUCUGGUCAUGAGCAACAUGUCUGAUGUAGUCCGUGAAGUUGCUAUUGCUAUCAAGUCCACCGGAGAGGCACACCCAGAGCUUUACAAUGCUGUCAUGGAGCUCCCUAGUUUUACCGAGGAUGAUCUAUUGAUUGUCUUGGAUUAUCUCAAUGAGAAUGCCAACAGGGCUAGGAGCCACUCAUUCGUGCAGAUGUCAGAGACUCGUUGCACUCGUUGGGCCAUUCACCACCUCUCCAAGCUCAACGGUGAAGUGCACGUGCCCAAGGAUGGAGUGCCACAGGAUGGAUCGCCUAAGGAUGGAGCGCCUAAGGAAGGAGUGUGA
rnacentral:rRNA from 1 species